CCCUUAGAUGUUCUGGGCCGCACGCGCGCUACACUGAUGCAUUCAACGAGUUUCCUUGACCGAGAGGUCUGGGCAAUCUUUUGAACGUGCAUCGUGAUAGGGAUAGAUUAUUGCAAUUAUUAAUCUUGAACGAGGAAUUCCUAGUAAACGCAGAUCAUCAAUCUGCAUUGAUUGCGUCCCUGCCCUUUGUACACACCGCCCGUCGCACCUACCGAUUGGAUGGUCUCGGGAUUGUGACUGUUGCCUUCAUUGGUGUCGGUUGCGAGAACUUGUCUAAACCUUAUCAUCUAGAGGAAGGUGAAGUCGUAACA
rnacentral:rRNA from 1 species